UGUUAGGUAUGGCAAAGAUUCAGUGAACCUGGUCAGGUAGGAAACUAAGCAGCCAUAAGUUAAAUUUUUGGGUAUACCUAAUGGCU
rnacentral:SRP_RNA from 1 species